rnacentral:rRNA from 1 species
GACGAACGCUGGCGGCGUGCUUAACACAUGCAAGUCGAACGGAAAGGCCCCUUUGGGGGUACUCGAGUGGCGAACGGGUGAGUAACACGUGAGUAACCUGCCCUUGACUUCGGGAUAACUUCAGGAAACUGGGGCUAAUACCGGAUAGGAAUCCUUGCUGCCUGGUGGGGGUUGGAAAGCUUCGGCGGUUUUGGAUGGACUCGCGGCUUAUUAGCUUGUUGGUGGGGUAGUGGCUUACCAAGGCUUUGACGGGUAGCCGGCCUGAGAGGGCGACCGGCCACAUUGGGACUGAGAUACGGCCCAGACUCCUACGGGAGGCAGCAGUGGGGAAUAUUGCACAAUGGGCGGAAGCCUGAUGCAGCAACGCCGCGGGCGGGAUGACGGCCUUCGGGUUGUAAACCGCUUUCAGCAGGGGCGAAGCUUGUGGUGACGGUACCUGCAGAAGAAGCACCGGCUAACUACGUG